CAAUUAACCUUUUUUAAACUUCUUUAUUUAUAUUUUUCAGAACGCACUGGCUCAGAGCGAGACGAGCGAAAUCCGAACGAGACCAGCGCGAGCUCAGAGCCAGCAAGACAAGAGCGAGAGACCAGAGCGAGCGAGACCAUCUUCUUCAUCGAGCGAGCGUCCUCUUUGUCGUCCUUGUUGUCUCUGUGGUUUCGAUUUCUAGGUUUUCUCCCAAUAUCAUAAGUUUCAAUUUUGAGAAACAACCUUGAGGCUAGUAAGAUCCUAUUUUGAAAUCAACUUUUGAGACCAUUAGCUUCUCUGUGGUUACUGAUUAACAUAUGCUAUUGGGGACUCUGUUUGAUUCCUCAUGUGAAUAUGGCUAUUGAGGAUCACAUGAAGAGAAGAAACUGCAUUACAAUUUGCAUCAGAAAUUUCUAGCAUACGGGUCCGAGGAGGAGGCACUUGAGCAUCGACCUCAAACAGUGGGAGAGGAUGAUUGGAACUAUCUGGUUCAAU